GUCUUUCACGCCCGCCUGAUGUGAGAGUUCCAGCAGCAUGGUCCUCACAACUGGCAAGAAAUAAAACGAUGGCAGCAUCCGCCAGCGGCGCUGGGCCAUACCACCAGCUGCAGGUCCCACAGAGAGGGGUACCAGUAUAUCACCAUAUGGUUCCGUGCACACCCCAUUUUGUGCCCCACAAUAUGCACAAAACGAUGUGACCAUGCAAGGUCACAACGGGCAGCUUUUGAAAGAUGACAAAAAUGCUUGCCGAAGUGCUGGUGGUUGUCAAUGAACUGUCAAGGGAUGUGCAGAUCAUGGGUGAAUUAGCAGAGGCUAGAAUGACCCCAUCUUGUGGACCAGGGCCAGCCACAAGCCAAGAGAUGUUCCCCAUUCAGCUGCCUAUCACCAACGAAGAUGACUUCAAUGAGGCCGAAACAUUGUUGGGAACUGAGCCAGUCCGACAAAAGAUGAUUGCCCGCUUGGCCUUGGUGGGAGGCACUAGCUCCACAUGUAUGGUAAGGAGGAUGCUUGCAACGGUUUUGACCAACGGCCUGGCCUGCAAGUUCAAUUGGGCAGGAAAAACCUGCACACAAAGGGAUGCCAAGCAGCCCUUCAAAGACACAGCCCUGCAAGACUGCAUGUUUGGUG
ensembl:lncRNA